rnacentral:rRNA from 1 species
CCAAUGUGAUCCCAGGUCAGGCGGGACUAC